rnacentral:lncRNA from 1 species
UGAACAUGGACCGAUACAACCCACGAGCAGCAUCUGACAUGGAAACAACCAAUUCUACCUGCUGAUUGAUAACAAAAGAGUGCUAAAUAAAGGGUUGGAAAUAAAAGGAGUAAUGAAGUACAGGUGUGACUGAUGAUGAGAAGCAGGUUCCUGAACGCACCCUGUCUGGUUGCUAGGCAACGAAGUUAGGCAGGAGAUCUAGUAAUUACCCGCACCUGCAUCUCAUCAACCUUCUGCACACCUGGUCCUGAUCAUCACCUGUUCUUAAGCCCUGAGCUGACAUCCAUUCCCUGCCGGAUCGUUAGCAACGAACAUCUUUCUCCCGGAACAUUCAACUCCCUUGCCUGGCCGUCGGUGGAUACAGUGACUUCAUUGGAUCAACCCAUUUACUCUCAUCAACUCACCUCCACUGCCGCUCCGUCUCCUGGAUUACUCAAUAUAAACAUCAAGAC